rnacentral:ribozyme from 1 species
CCUUCCAGUGAUUAUGGAUGGAUGCACACAAAGAAAGAGAAGUCAAAGGGAGAAGGGCAGACAAUCAGUCUUCCCGCAUUUGCCUGCCUUCCCCCGUGCCGACAAAGGCAAAAUCCAGAAGAUUCAAUUUUUCGUUUUAUUUCU